GCGGGUGUAGCUCAAUGGUAGAGCCCCAGCCUUCCAAGCUGGUCACGUGGGUUCGAUUCCCAUCACCCGCU
rfam:Rickettsiales bacterium Ac37b, complete genome.